rnacentral:rRNA from 1 species
AUUGAACGCUGGCGGCAUGCCUUACACAUGCAAGUCGAACGGCAGCAUGGAGAGCUUGCUCUCUGAUGGCGAGUGGCGAACGGGUGAGUAAUGCAUCAGAACGUACCGUGUAAUGGGGGAUAACGUAGCGAAAGUUACGCUAAUACCGCAUACGACCUGAGGGUGAAAGCAGGGGAUCGCAAGACCUUGCGUUAUACGAGCGGCCGAUGUCAGAUUAGCUAGUUGGUGAGGUAAGGCUCACCAAGGCGACGAUCUGUAGCGGGUCUGAGAGGAUGAUCCGCCACACUGGGACUGAGACACGGCCCAGACUCCUACGGGAGGCAGCAGUGGGGAAUUUUGGACAAUGGGGGCAACCCUGAUCCAGCCAUGCCGCGUGAGUGAAGAAGGCCUUCGGGUUGUAAAGCUCUUUCGGCCGGGAAGAAAUCGCACAGGCUAAUACCCUGUGUGGAUGACGGUACCGGCAUAAGAAGCACCGGCUAACUACGUGCCAGCCGCCGCGGUAA